rnacentral:rRNA from 1 species
GACGAACCGCCCGAACGUUGUUCGGAAUCACUGGGCUUAAAGGGAGCGUAGGCGGGCUGCCAAGUCCGGGGUGAAAUCCUCCAGCUUAACUGGAGAACUGCCUCGGAUACUGGAAGUCUCGAGGAGGGUAGGGGCAAGUGGAACCGUGGGUGGAGCGGUGAAAUGCGUUGAUAUCCAUGGGAACUCCGGUGGCGAAGGCGACUUGCUGGACCCUUUCUGACGCUGAGGCUCGAAAGCCAGGGGAGCAAACGGGG